CAGUCGCCGCGGUAAUACGAAGGGGGCUAGCGUUGCUCGGAAUUACUGGGCGUAAAGGGCGCGUAGGCGGACAGUUCAGUCGGGGGUGAAAGCCCGGGGCUCAACCUCGGAAUUGCCUUCGAUACUGGCUGUCUUGAGUAUGAGAGAGGUGUGUGGAACUCCGAGUGUAGAGGUGAAAUUCGUAGAUAUUCGGAAGAACACCAGUGGCGAAGGCGACACACUGGCUCAUUACUGACGCUGAGGCGCGAAAGCGUGGGGAGCAAACAGGAUUAGAUACCCCCGUAGUCCCUGUCUCUUAUAC
rnacentral:rRNA from 1 species